AUUGAACGCUAGCGGGAUGCCUUACACAUGCAAGUCGAACGGAGUGGCGAACGGGUGAGUAAUGCCUCGGAACGUGCCCAGUAGCGGGGGAUAACUACGCGAAAGCGUAGCUAAUACCGCAUACUAUUGGAGCGGCCGAUAUCGGAUUAGCUAGUUGGUGGGGUAACGGCCUACCAAGGCGACGAUCCGUAGCUGGUCUGAGAGGAUGACCAGCCACACUGGGACUGAGACACGGCCCAGACUCCUACGGGAGGCAGCAGUGGGGAAUAUUGGACAAUGGGGGAAAGCCUGAUCCAGCCAUCCCGCGUGAGUGAUGAAGGCCUUCGGGUUGUAAAGCUCUUUUGGCAGGAAAGCGGUACCUGCUCAAUAAGCACCGGCUAACUACGUGCCAGCAGCCGCGGUAAUUC
rnacentral:rRNA from 1 species